AAUUUUUAAUGUUAUUUUUAUUUAUAUUAUUGUUAUUUUUAUUUUUAUUUAAAGUAAUAUUAAAAAUAUAAUUAUUAAUAUUGUUAGAGUAAUCUAUUAAGAAAAAAUAUUUUUAUUGUUAAAUGUGAAUUAAUUAUGAAAUAAUUUAAAAAUUAAAAAUUUUAUAAGUAAGAUUAAUUUUUUGUACCUUUUGUAUCAGGGUUUAUUAAAUAAAUAUUAAUGAUUUAAUUUUCUCGAAUUAUUUAGAGUUAAAUUAAUAUUUAAGUUAAUGUGAAAUUAUUAUUUAAAAUAUUAAUUUAGUGGAGAAAUUCUAGUCAAUAAAUAAGAUAUCUAGUUUUUUUAGAAAUAAAUUUAAUUUAUUUAUUAAAAUUUAAUUUAAUAUAUUUUGUAUUUAUAUUUAUUUUAUUUUAAUAGAAAAAAUUUAAGGGAUUAGCUUUAGAUUUUAAUUUAAAAAUAGAGUUUACUUAUGGUUAUAAAUAAAAUUAUAGAUUUAAAAGUAGUUAUUAAUUUAAUUGUAUAAUAACUUAUUUGUUUUUAAAAUUUAAUUUUUUAUUAUUUUAAAAUUGUAUAAAAAUAUUUAAAUUAAUUAUUUAUUUAAAUAAAUAAUGAUAAAAUUAUUAUAUUAAUUUGUAUUUAAUUAUUUUAUAUAAUAUAUUUAUUUAAAUAAAUAAUUUUAUAUUUAAUUAUAAGGAACUAGACAAAAUUUUAUAUUUACCUGUUUAACAAAAACAUGUCUUUUUGAUAAUUUAAUUUAAAGUCUAAUCUGCCCACUGAAAUUUAUUUUAAAUGGCCGCGGUAUUUUGACCGUGCAAAGGUAGCAUAAUCAUUAGUUUUUUAAUUGAAAGCUUGUAUGAAUGAUUGGAUAAGAUAUAGAUUGUCUCAUAAUUAUUUAUGUUAAAAUUUAAUUUUUGAAUAAAAAAGUUUAAAUUUUAUUAAAGGACGAGAAGACCCUGUAGAUUUUUAUAAUAUAUUUAUUUAUUUUUAAUUAAAUAUUUUUUUUAAAUUAAGUUUUUUAUUAUUUUGUUGGGGUGACAUUAAAAUUAAAUUAACUUUUAAAUAUUUUUUAUUCAUUGAUUUUUGUUAAUAGUAGAUUAAAGUUUUAUUUUUUGAUCCUAAUUUUUAGAUUAAUAAAUUAAAAUACCUCAGGGAUAACAGCGUAAUUUGUUUGGAGAGAUCAUAUUAAUAAAUAAGUUUGCGACCUCGAUGUUGAAUUAAGAUUAUUUUUAGGUGUAGGAGCUUAAAUGUUAGGUCUGUUCGACCUUUGAAAUCUUACAUGAUUUGAGUUCAGAUCGGCGUAAGCCAGAUCGGAUUCUAUCCUUAAUUUUUUUGAUUAUUUUUGUACGAAAGGACCAAAUAGUUUAAAUAAUUUGAUUUAUUUAUUGAUUAAAAUUAAUAGUAUGUUUAAAAUAAUACAUUAAA
rnacentral:rRNA from 1 species